GGUGCUUGACUCUGCACCAGCUGAUGUAGCGCUGGCAGCUGCUGCUGCUCCAGCUGAGAUCCUCAAAACCACUCGCUGUGCUUUCCUCCUCAGGGCACUGUGAGGCGGGGAACUCAAGAUGAAGCACAUUCUUCAAAAAGAUCUAUACUCUGGCCCCAUCAAUAUCCACUUUCAUACUGAUGCUUUUAAGAAACUGCCAGUCAGGAAUAACAAGAUUCUCUGAUCCAGGCUCAGCUUUGAGGAAAGGGAGGAAAAAGAAGCAGCACUGGUCACACCUGAAGGUAUCUUCACACAACUGAAUUAUGCAUACUUUUCUCAUUAUUUUUAAGCAAUGAAUUUGAGUUCUUUGUUUAUCAUCUCCCUCUUAGCUUGAAUUUGGUGCCUCGUAUGGUUCUGCCCAACAUCUAUAUUUCCUUGUAGUCUGAGGCAUUUCCCUCUUUGUGGCAAUUAAUAAACAUUACACCAUGCUCCCACCCCUCUCUCUUCCAAAAUCUUGGAGACACAUAUUUUUUUCCUGAGAUAAUCCAGCAUAAUCCCAGGCAGAAUAUCCUACUGAAAAACAGUGAUUUCAGCCCUUGCAUAUUGGAGGUCUGUGGCUAUAAGGUCUGGUGGGACACAGGCAACUUGAAUACACUCACCUCUCAGAACUGGCAGAGUUCACAUUAACCUAUCCCUAAACCUGUUUACAAACCUACAAAGCCAAGAGUACACCUGAAAUAACCUCUUUCUUUUUACUCCCUAAAGUGCCUGGGAGGUCCAGGCUUGUGGUAUGACUACAGUAUGCUUCUACAUACGUUCCAGUAGAUAUCUGGGUUUUGCCUACAUAACCCAAUAAAACUGUUGAGGGGAACAGUGACUCCUACCAUUAUUUCAAGAUGAGACUCAUGGGAAAUGUUUGCUAUUAGACUCUAAUUCUACCUUAAGCUAGUUAAAAAGGUAGGCCUUCUCAUGACCUCUGCCUCACUCAGUACCAUGACCCAGGUCUCUUCCCACUAAGUGGCAGAAAUUAGGUGUUCAGAAGGUGAAAAGCAGGCUCCUGCGUCAUCUUUAGCAGGUUUCUGGUGCUCUGCCAUUCACUUCAAUGCAUCCUGCGUAUUCCCUGCCAGGGCAGAAGAAGUGUGGUCCUAUACAUACGCAUGUGGCACUCCCAGCCAGCUCUGAACAGAAUAUACACAUUCGUUCUCCAUAUGUCUCCUUGUGGUAUUUGUUUUCACUGUGAAAGCAAGUAAUAACGAACUGUAAACCAAAGUGUCGACCAAAACAUGGAGGUUCCUGCCAUUCCUCUAAAAACCCCAUAUUGUUCCAACACUUUUUUAAGCUGAAAAGAGACACUCUGUACUAUACCCUAGAGAUGGUAGGACACAAAAACUGAGUAAGAAAAACUAACAAGAUUUCCCUGGAGUACUCAAGCAUAUUCCCUCUGAAACAGGAGAAAAAUACAGUUGCAAUGAGUUUCUAGCAGUAGAUGGGGCCAGAAUGAGACAAUAUACCUCUAAUUGGCUUCAGCUUUCAACUGAAAAAACUAAUCCAUGAGAAACUAUAUCUCUCCAAGUCUAUAACCACUAUUUUCACUUAAACAAGCUUUUUAAUAAGCUGAGUUAGCAUUUGAGAUUCAUGUAUGCUGAAUGGCAGGAACAUUUUCUUAUGAUCAGAGCUAGACACAGCUGCAAUGAGGCCAGGGAU